GAAAAACUGCAUAAACCUGUCAGACUUGUCUAACCAGUUGACAAUUAGACAUGGGAAGCAUAUUACAAGGAAAAGAUGUGAAAGAUGAAGAAAGACAGACUCUAGACCAGGAAUUAAGGUCAGACUGAAAAGAAAUCCACACAGGCUUACACUUCCUUCUAUGCUGCUGGGAAAUGUACGCUCACUGGAGAGCAAGAUGUUCUAUUUAAGGAUGGAUCUUUCAGCACAAUCUAAGAAACAGUCAAAGGGAAUAAAACUGUGAUCGUUUGCUUUAGAAAUGUAAUAAAGAAAAUAAUGAAGAAAAAGGGCACAUUUCAUUUGGCGGAAGUCCUGUCUGUUCAUGGAUUGCAGUCGCACAAUUGGAUACUUGUCUACCAGGUACCUCCCAUGACUGCAGGUCGAGUUUGAAUGAGUGGAGGUGCUUGAAUGCGAAAACAUUAAUAACCUGAUACAGAGAAAAUUAAAAAGAACCAGGGAUCAUCCUCUCACACUUUGGCUUGUUCACUGUGGAUCAGCAGUAGUGGGAAUCGAAGUCAGAUUGAUCCAUCAUCUAUCCAAAACAGGCGGUUAUAGCUCUACUUCCAGUUUCCAUGCAAAGACUAUAAUUUCCACAGAGUCAGUAAAGCUUGGUGUCCUUGCCUGUGUUUCUGAAAUGUUUUACUUGCAACUAGUGACAUCCAGGCAAAACUAAUUAUUUCUGAUUCAAAAUUUGCACAUUUUUAGUUUAUUUAAGCAAACUGAUGUGUUUUCUUGAAUUGUUUGUGCAAUGAACUGUUUAUUUCACCUGAAAAAGUGCAUUUACUCACAGUGUUGUUACUGUUUGACUGUUUGCCUUGAAAUUAUCUUCUAAAACUGCAGUCUAGCUAGAUAUUGCAACAGCAUAAAACUCCUCCUUAAUCCCAAAAAAAAAAACAACCUAGUCAUAUUUGGCCCUGGUAGACCACCUCAGCAAUGCAAUGAUCUAACUAUAGUCUCUAAAGAUAACAUCACAAUCACUCCAACUACACACACAAAACUGCUAGGGGUAAUUAUUGAGAACAACCUCAGAUAUGACCUUCACACAGCCCAAACAAUCAAGAAAGUAAACAAAAAUCUGGGUCUCCUUUAUAGAAGCAAACAAUUCACGACUAAGGAGAGCAAAUCCACAACUGCAAGGACUCAUCUCUUAUCCGUCCUACUGUAUGUCACCCCUGUAAUGACAAAUCUUCGCCACUCCGAACUCACCAAAAUGGAAUCUUGUUACAAGAUUGCCAAUUUUGCUACUGAGACCUCUCAUAGAUCCCAUCACUGUCUUGCCCUAAAGCAACUCAACUGGCUUGAGCUGCCCCAACAAAUGAUACUACAGCAACUCUAUACAACACACAGGCUGUACUACCUGCCCAACAAAAUUCCAUCACUACAGCAACUAAUUCAACCCUAUACAACCACCAGAACCUUAAGAUCCAGUAGCCAAAACCUUUUAAAUAUCAAACAUAAAAAUCAUGCAGUAAGUCUCUCUUUGCCUGCACCAUAGCCAAAGUAUGGAAUCAACUCCCAAAUCACAUCACUGCUACAAGUUCUCCCCUCCAAUUUAAAAACCUCCUCAAAAGCCACUUUACAAACAACUGGCUCUGCUCCUGUGUCUCCCCAGGUUAAACCAACCCACUGCACUGUUGCUAAAUGUGGGACUGCAUCUGUUGAUAAUCACCUACCUCUAGUUAUGCAAGUUUGAACUGCUUACUCCAAGCACACAGACUUUUCUUAAUGUACUCCUACUAAAACCUUUUGUUCCUUUUCUUUCAGAUACCAUGUGACUUCUAAUCUGUCAAACUACUGGAUACACAACAUACAUCCACCACUGCUAGAUAAAACUCUUGUACUACACUCAAUCUCUCAAUGGACUGCAGAUUUACCUACUGCCAGUAGUUGUAAAAUUCUACCAACAAUAUACUGAAAUGACUCUGAAACAAACUUGUGUACAGUCCUAACAGCAAGAAGUUGAUAUCUGACAUUGUACUGCUUAUUAACCAAAUAACAAAAAUGUAAAACUCUGCCUACCACAUGCUGAAAUGAGUCUAUAAUAUACCUGUAUAUUGUACUGUUAAAAUGAAGUUAAUAUUUGACUAAUGCAUGCUGUUUGUAUUGUAUUACUAUUGCAUGCUGAUUGUAUUAGAUGUAAUGAAAUCCUAACAUGCACUGUAUCUGAAGCUUUA